rnacentral:rRNA from 1 species
CCCUACGGGGCGCAGCAGUGAGGAAUAUUGGUCAAUGGCCGGAAGGCUGAACCAGCCAAGUCGCGUGAGGGAAUAAGGCCCUAUGGGUCGUAAACCUCUUUUGUCAGGGAGCAAAGGCGUCCACGUGUGGACGAGAGGAGAGUACCUGAAGAAAAAGCAUCGGCUAACUCCGUGCCAGCAGCCGCGGUAAUACGGAGGAUGCGAGCGUUAUCCGGAUUUAUUGGGUUUAAAGGGAGCGUAGGCCGGUCUUUAAGCGUGCCGUGAAAUUUUGUGGCUCAACCAUGAGAGUGCGGCGCGAACUGGAG